rnacentral:misc_RNA from 1 species
GAUGAAGAACGUAGUGAAAUGCGAUAAGUAAUGUGAAUUGCAGAAUUCAGUGAAUCAUCGAAUCUUUGAACGCACCUUGCGCCCUUUGGCUAUUCCGAAGGGCAUGCCUGUUUGAGUAUCAUGAAAACCUCAACUCUCAUGGCUUGCCAUGAUGAGCUUGGACUCUGGGGGUCUUGCUGGCUUUACGGUCAGCUCCUCUCAAAUAAAUCAGCUUGCCGGUGUUUGGUGGGAUCACAGGUGUGAUAACUAUCUACGCUUGUGGUUUUCCGCCAGGUAACCUUCAGCAAUGGAGGUUCGCUGGAGCUCAUAAAUGUCUCUCCUCAGCGAGGACAGAUUUUGACCGUUUGAUCUCAAAUCAGGUAGGACUACCCGCUGAACUUAAGCAUAUCAAUAAGCGGAGGA